rnacentral:rRNA from 1 species
UACAGAGGUCUCAAGCGUUGUUCGGAUUCAUUGGGCGUAAAGGGCUCGUAGGCGGUCCAUCGCGUCGGGAGUGAAAAGCUGGGGCUUAACCCCAGUCCUGCUUCCGAUACGGGUGGACUAGAGGUAGGUAGGGGAGAUCGGAAUUCCUGGUGUAGCGGUGAAAUGCGCAGAUAUCAGGAGGAACACCGGUGGCGAAGGCGGAUCUCUGGGCCUUACCUGACGCUGAGGAGCGAAAGCAUGGGGAGCAAACAGG